ensembl:lncRNA
AUGCUGAAACAGGAAAGGGCAUUCCCCAAACUGUUGCCACAAAGUUGGAAGCACAGAAUUGUCUAGAAUGUCAUUGCAUACUGUAGCAUUAAGAUUUCCCUUCACUGGAACUUUCUGGAAUUUUAAACCUGACUGAGUCUGUAAUACCAACAUGUUUCAAGCCGACCAUCAUAAUCCCUGUGCCCAAGAACACUAAGGUAACCUGCCUAAAUUACUACUGACCCGUAGCACUCACGUCUGUAGUCAUGAAGUGCUUUGAAAGGCUGGUUAUGGCAAACCAUUAUCCCAGAAGCCCUAGACCCACUCCAAUUUGCAUACCGCCCCAACAGAUCCACAGAUGAUGCAAUCUCUAUUGAGAGAAAUGGCCCUGUUUUUGUUUUUUUUACCAGAAAAGGUAACUCAUCCACCAUGGCAGAAGAGGAAGUUCCAGACUGUUGGUUGGGAAACAAUAACAAAGAGGCAUGAGGAUUGGGUGUUGAGGGACGGGACCACAUUGUCCAAGUCCAUCCCUCAGGACAUCCCGUGCGUGGACGUGCUGUGCCAGUGUGAUUUUUGAGCGCAAGCAUCCAGUUGUGGAGAUCGAGCCUGUGGAUGGACAGAUCAGUAACUCAUCAAAUGUGAUACAACAAUAUGUCUUUAUGUCCAACAAAGAAGCAGGUGCCGCUUCCAGUGAAUUGGAGCUGACCUUGGACCUAGUGCCAGUGAGGAUGGUCUUCACUGAGGCGGUAAGACCCUCCCUCUUGAUAUAAAAAUCCUUUGACUUCACUGCCUCUUCAAUGGUAAGGCCCCUUGCACCAUAGGGACACUUGACCUCCACCGCUGUGGUGGCCACUAGACCAUCUGGUGAGGCACCCAGGAUCCCAGACCCCAUGAACCAAAGCCAUGACUCAUGCACAUCCAUCUCUGUAGACAUUUUGAAUGCCUUGAUGUCCACUUCUUUGUUAUCUGUGCCCCACUUUACAGACAACACCCCACCCAAUGACAUGACAUGCCAUUCCACAGAAUCUGCUUCGGAGACGGUUCAGAGAGAGAGAGAGAGAGAGAGAGAGAGAGAGAGAGAGAGAGAGAACCAUACUGAAGAUCCUCCUCUGUGGGGUCCUCCACUUGCUGCACCUGUUUGGGCAUGGCUGGCUUCCUUCUCUUACAUUCCACACCCAUACGACCGAUAUUGUGAACCUCCAAAAUAGGCUGCAUGGCUACACUGAUAAGCUCCAUGGAGGCAUUCGCAUGUGGUAGAGAGAAUCCCCUUGUCAACUAUAGAGACCUGCCAAGAGGAAGGAUGUUAAGUGCCACAUGCCUUUCAAUGCAUGACUGUGAACACCUUGAAAUCCAUUAGUUGUAAGAAAUGUGCUAUAUAAAUAAAGUUUGAUUUGAUUGAUGACACUGCAGCUGUACAAUAU